rnacentral:rRNA from 1 species
GAUGAACGCUGGCGGCGUGCCUAAUACAUGCAAGUCGAGCGAACGGACGAGAAGCUUGCUUCUCUGAUGUUAGCGGCGGACGGGUGAGUAACACGUGGAUAACCUACCUAUAAGACUGGGAUAACUUCGGGAAACCGGAGCUAAUACCGGAUAAUAUUUUGAACCGCAUGGUUCAAAAGUGAAAGACGGUCUUGCUGUCACUUAUAGAUGGAUCCGCGCUGCAUUAGCUAGUUGGUAAGGUAACGGCUUACCAAGGCAACGAUGCAUAGCCGACCUGAGAGGGUGAUCGGCCACACUGGAACUGAGACACGGUCCAGACUCCUGCGGGAGGCAGCAGUAGGGAAUCUUCCGCAAUGGGCGAAAGCCUGACGGAGCAACGCCGCGUGAGUGAUGAAGGUCUUCGGAUCGUAAAACUCUGUUAUUAGGGAAGAACAUAUGUGUAAGUAACUGUGCACAUCUUGACGGUACCUAAUCAGAAAGCCACGGCUAACUACGUGCCAGCAGCCGCGGUAAUACGUAGGUGGCAAGCGUUAUCCGGAAUUAUUGGGCGUAAAGCGCGCGUAGGCGGUUUUUUAAGUCUGAUGUGAAAGCCCACGGCUCAACCGUGGAGGGUCAUUGGAAACUGGAAAACUUGAGUGCAGAAGAGGAAAGUGGAAUUCCAUGUGUAGCGGUGAAAUGCGCAGAGAUAUGGAGGAACACCAGUGGCGAAGGCGACUUUCUGGUCUGUAACUGACGCUGAUGUGCGAAAGCGUGGGGAUCAAACAGG